UUACGGCCACAUCAUGUUGAAACACUUGUUCCCGUACGUACAAUGACCGAAGUUAAGCAACGUCGAGCCGAGUGAGUACCUAGAUGGGUGACCGCUUCGAAAUAACAGUUGUUGCAAA